rfam:Loxodonta africana unplaced genomic scaffold scaffold_4, whole genome shotgun sequence.
GCAGCGGUGGUUCAGUGGUAGAAUUCUCACCUUCCAUGCUGCUGACCCGGGUUUGAUUCCCGGCCGAUGCA